rnacentral:rRNA from 1 species
GGAGUUUGGGCCGUGUCUCAGUCCCAAUGUGGCCGUUCACCCUCUCAGGCCGGCUACUGAUCGUCGCCUUGGUGGGCCGUUACCUCACCAACUAGCUAAUCAGACGCGGGUCCAUCUUAUCCCGAUAAAUCUUUUCACACUGUUUCAUGCGAAACUGUGCGCUUAUGCGGUAUUAGCAGUAAUUUCUCACUGUUAUCCCCCCUGGAUAAGGCAGGUUACCCACGCGUUACUCACCCGUCCGCCACUAAGUUAAAGAUCCAUCCGAAAAUUUCUCUUUAACCCCGUUCGACUUGCAUGUGUUAGGCACGCCGCCAGCGUUCAUC